GACGAACGCUGGCGGCGUGCUUAACACAUGCAAGUCGAACGGAAAGGCCCUGCUUUUGUGGGGUGCUCGAGUGGCGAACGGGUGAGUAACACGUGAGUAACCUGCCCUUGACUUUGGGAUAACUUCAGGAAACUGGGGCUAAUACCGGAUAGGAGCUCCUGCUGCAUGGUAGGGGUUGGAAAGUUUCGGCGGUUGGGGAUGGACUCGCGGCUUAUCAGCUUGUUGGUGGGGUAGUGGCUUACCAAGGCUUUGACGGGUAGCCGGCCUGAGAGGGUGACCGGCCACAUUGGGCCUGCGAUACGGCCCAGACUCCUACGGGAGGCAGCAGUGGGGAAUAUUGCACAAUGGGCGGAAGCCUGAUGCAGCAACGCCGCGUGCGGGAUGACGGCCUUCGGGUUGUAAACCGCUUUCGCCUGUGACGAAGCGUGAGUGACGGUAAUGGGUAAAGAAGCACCGGCUAACUACGUG
rnacentral:rRNA from 1 species